UACUGGUGGAUGGCAUUUAUUAACACCUACAGAUCAUUGUGAUGAAGAAAAACAAAAAUAUAUAAAUACCCAAUCCAAUACAAAAUUUUUAAAAAAGUGUAGAGUGUACUAAAGAAAUAAUAACAAAUGAAACAAAUAUGUCAAAAAAACUUACUACAUUCUAAAAAUGAAGAAUUAAUUGAAGAGAGUGGUUCUACUAAAUGUGUAGAUAAUAUAAAAGAUUCAUCUAUAAUGAAUAAUAAUAAUCAGAUGAAUAAUGUAUAUAUAGAAGAGAUACAUAAAAGUAAUAACACGCAUGAUAAUACUUAUGCAAAUAUAAAUAAACAUAAUAUUUUUUCUGAAUACGACAAAUUUACCGAAUAUAAUACUAUUGAAAAAAAAAAUUGCAGAAUCUAUUAUAAUUAAACUAAACAAAAUCGAUAAUAAGUUUUAUUUUAGUAAAGGAAAACUAAAUGACAUUUCCCUAUAUUAUCUCAAAAAUCCAACACCUUAUGUAUUUAUUAAUACUGUAUUAUCACCUGAACAAUAUCGUAACUUAGAUAUAUUGUUUAAUAAUUUAUUACAGAGUUAUACUGAAGAAUUAAAAUUAAAUAGUCAAAAAAUUAAUAAUGAUGAAACAUUAACCCCAAGAACAUUAGAUAAGUUAUACCACGACGAACUGGAUUUGCUUAUAAAAUUAAAAAUACCAGAUGAAGAAAAACAAUUAACAUUACAUGUUAAAAAUGAUAAUUUUAACGAAAUAUGUACAUAUAAUGAUAAAAAUGAUAAUGAUAGAAAUGUUUGUUUUGAUAUAUAUAAUAAAUUUAUAUACGAAGAUGACGAAUGUAAUGUCGAUGAUAAAUAUGAUGAUAUAAAUUAUGACAUAAACCAAACCGAAAUAUGUAAUGUACCUAUAACUACACAGAACGAACUUAACAAUAAACAAACUAAUAACAAUAAUAGUAGUAGUAAUAAUAAUGAUACAUUAAAAGAGCAAACUAAAAGAUUACCAUUAUAUGUAGAAAUAUUUGACAGAUAUAGUAUUAUAUUACAUAUUUUAAAAAGCAGAUCCAAAAAUAACUUAAGUAAAUUACAACUA
rnacentral:lncRNA from 1 species